GAUGAACGCUAGCGACAGGCCUAACACAUGCAAGUCGAGGGGCAGCACAGGCAGCAAUACUUGGUGGCGACCGGCGCACGGGUGAGUAACGCGUAUGCAACCUACCUGUAACAGGGGAAUAGCUCCCUGAAAGGGGAAUUAAAACCGCAUAAGACCACACUAUCGCAUGGUAGAGUGGUAAAAUAUUUAUAGGUUACAGAUGGGCAUGCGUGACAUUAGCCAGUUGGUGAGGUAACGGCUCACCAAAGCUACGAUGUCUAGGGGUUCUGAGAGGAAGGUCCCCCACACUGGUACUGAGACACGGACCAGACUCCUACGGGAGGCAGCAGUGAGGAAUAUUGGUCAAUGGGCGCAAGCCUGAACCAGCCAUGUCGCGUGCAGGACGACGGCCCUACGGGUUGUAAACUGCUUUUGUACGGGAAGAAAUAUAUCUACGAGUAGAUAUUUGCCGGUACCGUACGAAUAAGGAUCGGCUAACUCCGUGCCAGCAGCCGCGGUAAUACGGAGGAUCCGAGCGUUAUCCGGAUUUAUUGGGUUUAAAGGGUGCGUAGGCGGAAUGGUAAGUCAGUGGUGAAAUACUGCAGCUUAACUGUAGCAUUGCCAUUGAUACUGUCAUUCUUGAGUACAGUUGAGGUAGGCGGAAUGUGGUGUGUAGCGGUGAAAUGCUUAGAUAUACCACAGAACACCGAUUGCGAAGGCAGCUUACUAAACUGACACUGACGCUGAAGCACGAAAGCGUGGGGACCAAACAGGAUUAGAUACCCUGGUAGUCCACGCCGUAAACGAUGAUUACUGGUUGUUUGCGAUACACAGCAAGUGACUGAGCGAAAGCAUUAAGUAAUCCACCUGGGGAGUACGUCGGCAACGAUG
rnacentral:rRNA from 1 species